UACAGAGGUCCCAAGCGUUGUUCGGAUUCACUGGGCGUAAAGGGUGCGUAGGCGGUAGGGUAAGUUUGAGGUGAAAUCUCCGGGCUCAACCCGGAAAUUGCCUUGAAGACUAUCUUGCUAGAGGAUCGGAGGGGAGACUGGAAUUCUCGGUGUAGCAGUGAAAUGCGUAGAUAUCGAGAGGAACACCAGUGGCGAAGGCGAGUCUCUGGACGAUUCCUGACGCUGAGGCACGAAAGCCAGGGGAGCAAACGGG
rnacentral:rRNA from 1 species